rnacentral:lncRNA from 1 species
UAAAGCUCUUGUGCUAUGCUCCAAACAUAUGAAGAAGGCCUUAUUUAGAUCCGAAAUUUUUUUGGAUUCUGAUACUGUAGCACUUUCGUUUUUAUUUGACAAACAUUGUCUAAUCAUAGAGCAACUAGACUUAAAAGAUUCAUCUCACGAUUUACAGACAAACUAUAUAAUUAGUUUUUGUUUUCAUUUAUAUUUAAUGCUUCAUGCAUGUGCCGCAAGAUUCGAUGUGACGGGGAAUCUUGAAAAGUUUUUGGUUUUUGAGGGCCGAAGACACUACGACAUCAUAGACGAACCAAUAGUGCAUCAUUGGUCCCAGACGAACUAAUUAGACACACAUGCAUGGCUUAACUCUAUAUAUAUAUGCGUCAUCUCCUAUGAUGUGUUCGGCCAGGACACAAUAAAGAAGCUAAUCUGUCGGACAACCACUAGGAUUAGAAUGAUGUGUCUGGCAACCACUAGAAUGAUGUGUCCGACUCCGAUCGACUAGGACGGUAAAGACAAAUGCAAUGAAGCGAUCGACCACGGCUAGCUGUCGCCAACUCGCCAUGCAUUGUGGCACACGCAUGGUACUUUCUGGGCAUGUUUCAAGUAAGCUCUAGCUGGAAUUGGAUUGGAGCUAUCAAUAAGCAAGCCCUGCCUCACAUUGGUUCUACCAAGCAUAUGUAUAUAUUACCUUAAUGGAUGACGCGGUAUUGGAUGCCUAUAUAUAUGUAUGUAAAAAGGCAUACCCUAGAGGUGAAUAUAUCAGCUGCAGAUCAUAAUCAUAUCGAUAGCUCUCAGUGCACGCUCAUCAUCGACAUGGCCGGCAAGAGCACGAUCCUUGCACUCUUCACCUGGGCCAUGACCCUGCUGCUUAUUUUCAUGACUGCCCACGGUACGUACGUGAAUUCACUCUUUGCGCAUGUGGUUUGUUCGCUUGACCGAUAAAUCAUAGCUGAAAAUACUGUUCUCAAAUUUGUUUACACAACUUACUUUUGUUUGUGAGAGACGUGUACCCAACUAAUUGAUCCUAUCCGAUCCUAGUGUUGUUGUACGGGAAUCUUGGCUGCCGACCAGUCAGCGGGCCGACCCCUCUCCUUCUCACGAGCGUGCAGUUUGCUUACGAUUGGGCUGUUUCUCUUACAUUUUCCCUCGGCCCAAUAACAAAUUGCGAAGCCGCACGCGUCUGGGACCAAGUUGUACAAACGCGUCUGGCAACGGUACGUUUCUCUUUUUCUUUUCUUGAUUGACUUUUUUCCUUAAUAUUUCUUUGUUGCUUUCUUGUAUUUCCUUUUUCCCAUCUUUCUUUUAUUUAUUUUUUUUUUUACUCUAUUUGUAUCUUGAUCGAGUAAAGUCCAUUAGCGGUCUUCAAACUUGUUCGACUGUGUCAUUCCGAUCACUAAAACUCGCAAAUCGACUGUUUACGUCAUCAAACUUAUUCACCUGUAUCAUCCCGAUCUCUAAAUUCGUAAAUUGCUUGUAUAGGUUCUCAAACUUAUUCGGCUAUACCUAUCUAGGUCCCUAAACUUGUAAAUCACUCGUUUAGGUCCUCAAACUUGUUCAGCUAUGUUAUCCCAAUCCCUAAAUAUCGUAAAUACUAUGAAAUUAUAAAUUGAAUAUAUAUUUAUAGAACAAUCCAACAAUUAUAAAUCUAAUUUUUUAGGCUCCUGAUAACAUGUAAUUUAAAUUUGAAUAAAAGAAAACACCUUGUACUUCCUAUUUUUAACUUUGUAGUUAAAUGACUAAAUAGGCACACAUAUUUUUAUAAAUCCAAAAAAUACAUGUG